rnacentral:tmRNA from 1 species
GGGUCCGUCAAGGUUUCGACGGGGUUUUUGAAGCAGGAUAAGCGGGUAAAGUGGCAGGACUUUUAAAAACUGCAAACUUUAAAAUUAAACGCUAACAAAAAUUUAGCUUACGCUGCCUAACUAAUGGCGGCCGUCUCACCUUUGGGUAUCGCGACUUAGGUGUAGGCGUCACUUAGCGAUGAACGUAUUUUGUCAAAGCUUUGAGAUAGAAUAUGAAUUUAUGAAGCUACGCCGAAGACAGUUUGUCGAUGGACUGUUGAUGGCGGAAUUUGACCACCGACUACACCCGUAGAAGUUCUUGUGAAUGAAGUUUCGGACAGGGGUUCGAUUCCCCUCGGAUCCACCA